rnacentral:pre_miRNA from 1 species
AGUGGAAUUGCUGGGUCAUGUGGUAACUCGAUGUUUCACUUUUUUGAGGAACUGCCAAACUGUUUUCCAAAGUGGCUGCACCAUUUACAUUUCCAUCUGCAGU